CUUAUGAUGGCGACCGGCGCACGGGUGCGUAACGCGUAUGCAACCUACCUUUUACAGGGGCAUAACACUGAGAAAUUGGUACUAAUUCCCCAUAAUAUCUGAGACGGCAUCGUUUUGGGUUGAAAACUCGGUGGUAAAAGAUGGGCAUGCGUUGUAUUAGCUAGUUGGUGAGGUAACGGCUCACCAAGGCGACGAUACAUAGGGGGACUGAGAGGUUAACCCCCCACAUUGGUACUGAGACACGGACCAAACUCCUACGGGAGGCAGCAG
rnacentral:rRNA from 1 species